rnacentral:rRNA from 1 species
GACGUAGGGCGCGAGCGUUGUUCGGAAUUACUGGGCGUAAAGCGUGCGCAGGUGGUUCGUCAAGUCUGAUGUGAAAGCCCUGGGCUCAACCUGGGAAUGGCAUUGGAAACUGGCGACCUAGAGUGCGGUAGAGGGUAGUGGAAUUCCCGGUGUAGCAGUGAAAUGCGUAGAGAUCGGGAGGAACAUCCGUGGCGAAGGCGACUACCUGGACCAGCACUGACACUGAGGCACGAAAGCGUGGGGAGCAAACAGG